rnacentral:rRNA from 1 species
CCGGCACGGUGAGUAACACGUAUGCAAUCCACCUGUAACAGGGGAGUAACCCGGAGAAAUCCGGACUAAUACCCCAUAAUAUGGGCGCUCCGCAUGGAGAGCCCAUUAAAGAGAGCAAUUUUGGUUACAGACGAGCAUGCGCUCCAUUAGCCAGUUGGCGGGGUAACGGCCCACCAAAGCGACGAUGGAUAGGGGUUCUGAGAGGAAGGUCCCCCACAUUGGAACUGAGACACGGUCCAA